GAAAAGGCAUUGAUCGGAAUAAGUAAUUGUCACAGCCUGACAACAGAGAAUAGCUGGUUGGUGAGAAGCUUUAGUUAAGAGUGAUGAUGAAUACCUCCGUGAGCAGCAGAGGCGAAAUUGCAGUAGUUUCUGACGGAGACUGACCGUUAUAUCAGGAGAGUAUCGUCUUUUUAGUUUUAAGAUCGUACUUAUUGAGGCAUAUGGUGUGAGCUGUAUGUGAAUGAAGGUGGUAACACGGAUUUUUUCGUCCUUCGC
rnacentral:ncRNA from 1 species